UUGGGCUUCACGCUCCUUCUUCGCUGUCCUUGGGUACAGCACAAAUACACAAUACUACGGUUACUACCGUAUCGUUUGCUCUUCCAAAAUUAAUGUCAACCUCUUCAAAUUCUAGAUCCCAUUCCCAGGAAUUACAAGUAGCCAUCAUUCUAAUGCCGUCUCAUAGGAGAGAAUUCUCAGAAUGAUCGUUUUUGACUCCGUCUAUAAAAUCAAAAUUUAGAGGGCCUCAAACUCAUGGUCGGACUGAAGCGCGCCUGACGUUCUCCAUCUCCUGAGUUUUUUUUUUCUACUCUUUCCAUCUUUCAAUUUCAUCUCUUACUUGGGUAUUUCGUCAAUUUUAUCUCAUUCACGAUCUUCUUUUUAGCUAAAUAAUGGACCAUCGAUGUCCCUUUUAAUUAGCUUAAAAUCAGUUAAUGUUGUCGAUCCACCAAAAUCUCAGGUCUAGAUCGCGUCAAUAGUUUUAAAGAAGAUCAACAGUCAUCUGAUCACGUCAAUAGUUUUAAAAUCAGUUACUGUAUAUCCCAGUUGUGAGUUGUAUUUCGAAAUUGAUGUAUUGGUGUAUAUAAACAAGGUCUCCAAACAUGUGUGCCGGAAGAGAAGAUCCUUCCAAAGACAGGGGAGUCAACUCCACGGAAAGCCAAACAGAGAACUCCUAGGGAUUAUUACAUCUAAGUGCACUAUUCAUAUGUGAUCAAGGGAUGGGGAAAGAUAUAGACAACGAGCAAGCAUGUGAGUCUUCUUUACCAGAUGGGUUUGAGAAUACACAAUCUAAGACUGGAGCUUGAACUCAAGCAGAUGGUGGUGAGUGAGAAAUCAUCAGAAUAAAACAAAAUAAACGGAAUUCAGAAUCAAUAAGAUGGUACUUGUGGUCAAAAAGGGAUUUCGAUAUGGUGUAGCUAUAAUGAUCAAAGCUACUAAUUUUACACCCAAAAAUGUAUAAAGAUGAUAGGUAAAGUAUUGUAAUCAACAGUAGAUAAUGGAUAAUGACAAGAUGCCAUCCCAGUGGCGGAGAGAUGACAAGGAGUGUUGGUAACAUAAUUCAAAGAGAUUGACAAGACAUAAAAAAGUUCAAACAGAUGUACGGAGAUAGUAAGAUAGUUUAUGCCCAAAGAUAUGUAAUUCAAAGAUACUGUCUUAAAGUUCAGAGAGAUUUAACAUCUUAUUAUGCAUUUACAAUCAUGAUCUAACAAUUGUGACAAUUAUAGUUCAAAGAUAUUGUGUAGGGAAAUUUUG